GGUGCCAUAGCUCAGUUGGUAGAGCAAAGGACUGAAAAUCCUUGUGUCCCCGGUUCGCUUCCUGGUGGCACCA
rnacentral:tRNA from 1 species